rnacentral:rRNA from 1 species
GGGAGGCAGCAGUGGGGAAUAUUGCACAAUGGGGGAAACCCUGAUGCAGCCAUGCCGCGUGUGUGAAGAAGGCCUUCGGGUUGUAAAGCACUUUCAGUAGGGAGGAACGGUAGUGUAGUUAACACCUGCAUUAUUUGACGUUACCUACAGAAGAAGCACCGGCUAACUCCGUGCCAGCAGCCGCGGUAAUACGGAGGGUGCGAGCGUUAAUCGGAAUUACUGGGCGUAAAGCGCAUGCAGGCGGCCUGUUAAGUCAGAUGUGAAAGCCCGGGGCUUAACCUCGGAAUUGCAUUUGAAACUGGCAGGCUAGAGUCUUGUAGAGGGGGUAGAAUUUCAGGUGUAGCGGUGAAAAUGCGUAGAGAUCUGAAGGAAUACCAGUGGCGAAGGCGGCCCCCUGGACAAAGACUGACGCUCAGAUGCGAAAGCGUGGGGAGCAAACAGGAUUAGAUACCCUGGUAG